GACGUCAAAUCAUCAUGCCCUUUAUGACCUGGGCUACACACGUGCUACAAUGGGAAGUACAACGAGUUGCGAAGUCGCGAGGCUAAGCUAAUCUCUUAAAGCUUCUCUCAGUUCGGAUUGCAGGCUGCAACUCGCCUGCAUGAAGCCGGAAUCGCUAGUAAUCGUGGAUCAGCACGCCGCGGUGAAUACGUUCCCGGGCCUUGUACACACCGCCCGUCACACCACGAGAGUUUGUAACACCCGAAGUCGGUGAGGUAACCUUUUGGAGCCAGCCGCCUAAGGUGGGAUAGAUGAUUGGGGUGAAGUCGUAACAAGGUAGCCGUUGGAGAAGG
rnacentral:rRNA from 1 species